UUUCUUGUCUGGAUUGCUCUGGUUAGAAUUUCCAGGACUGUUGAAUAGAAGUAGUGAGAAGGGAUAUCUUUGCCUUGGUCCUGAUCUUCAAGGAAAAGCUGUCAGCCUUUUGCUUUGUUGAAUUCCAUGUUAGCUGUGGGCUUUUCACAUAUGGCUUCUGUUAUGUUGAGGUAGCUUUCAUUGAAUUCCUUGCUUGUUGACUGUUUCGAUCACGAAAAAGUGCUGAAUUUUGUUAGAUUUUUUCUGCAUUGAUUGAAAUAAUGGUGUGAUUUUUGUCCUUGAUUUUGUUAAUGUGCUAUAUUACACUGAUUCUCCAAAAUACAGAAAAUGUAAACUGACCAUUUAUCACAGAAGAAAUAAAAUUGUCAAAGGACUACCACUCCCAAGACACCAAACCUACAUGGUCUGAUAGGUGAAUAUUACUAAAGUGUGAAAGUAUUACUCACUAAGUUGUGUCUGACUCUUCGUGACCCCAUGGAUUAUAGCCCACCAGGCUGUUCUGUCCAUGGAAUUCUCCAGGCAAGAAUACUGUAGUGGGUUGCCAUUUCCUCUUCCAGAGGAUCUUCCUGACCGAGGGAUCAAACCCACAUCUCCUACAUUACAGGCAGAUUCUUCACCCCCUGAGCCACCAGGGAAGCCUGAAUUUUACUUAAGUUUGCAAGGAAAAGGAAUCUACAAUGCUAUUGCAACCUCUCCCUGAAAGGAAAAAGAGAGAGCAAGCUUGGAAAUGCAUUUAAUGAAGGAGCAUAGUAUAGUCUUCAUACAUAUUAGUAGUGCUUAGUGGUUAAGCAAAUAGAUUUCAGCUACACUUUAAACCAGUCACUUUUGUGUCAAAGUUAACUGUCCACCACAGAAUAUAGUUGUAGUUGGAAAUAUGAUUCCUGCUUAAUAAUUUUCUCAGCUUCCUUUCAGCUAGACUAAUUCUCAACCACUGAAGGAGACUAGAAGUGACAAUUCCCAUUUCAAGACCAAGACUUGAAGCAGAUGUCCCCUCCCUGUGGAAGCAGAAUAAUGUUCCCCCAAAGAUCCUAAUUCCUGGAAUCUAUGGUGUUACAUGGUAAAGGGGAAUUAAAUUGCUAAUCAUUUGACCUUAAAAUUGUUUUGGAUAACCUGGAUAGCAGACAGGCUCUGUCUAACAAUAGGAUCCUAACAGGGGUAUGCUGAAGAGUCAGUAUCAGUGACAUGUUACAAGAAAGACUCAACCAGCCCCUGCUGGCUUUAAAGACAGAGGGAGUCAUGAGCCAAGGAGUGUGGGUACCCACUAGAGGUUGGAAAAAGCAAGGAAACAGAUUCCCCCCUAAAGCCUCCAAAAGAAGUGAAGCCCUGCCAACACCUUGGUUUUAGCCCAAGGAGAUCUAUUUUGGAUCUCAACCCUGGAAUUUUAAGAAUUUAAAUAUGUGUUGGCUUAAACCAGUUAAGUUUGUGGUAAUUUACUAUAGCAGCUAUCGGAAGUUAAUACUUUCUUCCACUUUUACUUUUUCCUCUCUUCCCAGGAAGGUGAAGUUAACAGUGAAACCUCGAUGAUGGUAGAGCCACAAGAUGGAAGGAUCAAGGGCCUGUGAAUCACCAAGUGAAGUCAUCUAUUGGUUGAAAACACACACCUCAGACACUUACGUGUGGAAAAAACCUCUGUUGUAUUUGAAUGAUGACAUUUGUUACAACUGUUCUGUCUCAUUCCAGUCAGUGCAGGUCUCUGGUCACUGGAUUGAAAUGACCAAACCUAGAGUUCCUGCGGUCUUGCUUCUCCAGUAGUGUGAUGAGGCACUUUGCCUUUCAAAACAAAGUCAAAUACAGAUAGUUUGGUAUGCAGAUGGUGUUCUCUUUGAUGGCAGUCUUGGUACUUGUCACCUCUGAAGAAGAAGAACUAGCAGUAGAGCAUGCCUUUGGAGUCGAUGGUGGAUUUUUUACCUUUGUUUCAUCCUAUAUCAAAGGUAUAAUAUAAUCAAUAUGCAUUUGCAUCCACUUAUAUUUUCUAUGAAAAUUGAAUGUAAAAUGAAUGAGAAAUGUUGUAACCGAGACACAUACAUAAAAGUAAGAGGUUAGUUUUAAUCCUCCUUUAAAAAGCUCAUUAUCAAAUAUUUACAUUUGAAGAUGGAACAAAUUAGUGAUAUGUUAUUUACUUUUUAUACAACGAUUUUAAACUUUUGGUUUAAAAGAUAAUUCUGUAAUGUUUAAUGUGAAACCAUCAUUUAUCUUGCUGCUUCUGGUAACAACCAACUCUUGACACAGAUUUUUCUCUUGAGAUUUUUCUUUUAUGACUGGAGAAAGUCAGCCAAGAGUUUUUAUGCUAUCUGUGAAGAAACUACAUGGUGUGAACCACUGCUUCCUGGCUCUGCUAAAUGACAGCCGAGAGCUAGAGAAUUAGAGGAGUAAACUCAGUUACUUCCCUUGGUUAGUUGGAAAAGGACAUAGAAAGGCUAUUUUUUUGUUCUGGGAGGUGAAUAUACUGUUUACAGUUUUUUUUUUUUUUUAAACUGUAUUGUCUAUUCCAAGAAAGGCUUUUUAAUCUUCAGAAGUGAGCGACACAUAAAGGUACACAGAAGCUGGUAGCUGAAUGUGUCAGCCAAGGACUGUAAUGAUUACAAUCUCUAGAACAGUAUUCAGUUGUUGAUGUUUAAUGAAAAUAAGGGCUUCCCAGGUGGCUCACUGGCAAAGAAUCCGUCUGCCGAGCAGGAGACAUGGGUUUGAUCCCUGAGUUUGGAAGAUC